UGACAGCACCGGGACAGACAGACAGACCCCGACAGACCCCGACAGUGCAGGAACCGGAGCGGGCAGAGCCACUGCCGGGGUGUGACAGCACCGGGACAGACUGACACCGCCACUGCCACCGCCGCCCCUCUGUCACCAGGAUGCUCUCGAUGGCCCAGCCGAGCCCGGAGCGGGUGCCCAGCCCCGCGGAGCAGGAGUGGGCAGGGCCCGAGGCGCUGUGCCCAGGUUGGCUGGAGGAGGAGGCCCCCGAUGGCGACGUGCCCGGGGACAGCGGGGACCCCGACGGUGCCACCCACGCCUUCGAGCGGCUGCAGAGCGCCC